AAAAAAAAAGGUAGGGUCUCACUAAAUUGUCAAAUUGACUAGGCUGGGCUGGACUGAAUUUGGAAUCCUCCUGCCUCAUCUUCCCAGAGUGCUGGGAUUAUAGGUGUGCACCACCACGCCCAGCUAAAAGUCAUUUUAAUGGCUAUAUACUACUUCACCCUAUACUCAUACUAUGGUAUAAUUUAUUUAACCCACCCUCUGGCCUUGAACAUGGGCAUUUACAUUUUCUUUUCUUUUCCUGGAGGUUGCCAUCAUCAACGCUGCGGAAGCAAACACUCUAGCAAGUACCUUCACUAACCACCGCGUAUUUUCAUAAAAAGGAAAAUCCCCAACAGGAGAAAGGCGACAGAGCGUCGCCGUCCAGACAAGCCCUGCGCAUGCGCCCUCCUCCUCAUGAUGACGUCCGCUGGGUGCUGGCCCUGGUCCUUCCAGCACCAAGGGCUCGGGUGUCACCGCCGCGGGUCAAGGCUUGGGAGCCGCUUUAAUAAAGGGCCGGGGCGGGCGGAAGCGAGGAAGGCGACUCGGGGGCGCGCACCCGACGUCUCUGCUGUGCCACGAGAGCGCGCGUCGCCUAGGCCGCGGGGCCUGGGACUCAGAGCUGCUCGCUAAGGUCACAUUCACAGGCACAGGGCUGUGGCCCGUCGUUGGGAAGGACACCUUUCGACUCAUAGCAAGAAAAUGAGAUGGAAACAGCCCUGCUCAUUCCAGGGCUUGUAAAGGAGACUGAACAAAGCCUCAGUUUUCCCCUGGUGAAGCGGACACACUGGGUACCGAUGCUCUCUGACGCAAGCAGCCACUGCUUCUGAGGAAGGAGAAGCCUGUGAGGAGCGCGGGACAGCAACCUCUUUUCUGACGUGGGUGAGUCCCGCGCAGACACCUGGCACUCUCUCUCCAGGCUGGCGGGCAGGCCUGGGGCACUGUUUCAUUUGCUCCCAGAGCUUGGGCUCAUGGUUCAGUUCUGCAGGCCACCCUCCUUCCUGGUGGGAGACUCCCCUCGGCGGUGGCACCGGUCCCUUCGUGGGCUGGCGAAUUGUUCUGUGCUCCGGGCCUGAAGGACUUGUCUAGAUUUGGCCAACAUGACCUGUGUGAAGCACAGAAGAUGAACCCUCUUGACUGGCAGCGAGCUGCAUGCAGGAGGCGCCCUGGUUGGCCUGAGGUUGCCCAUCCAGGCCUGGUGUGGCAGCUCGGCUCUGCCAUCCUGACCCCUGGCGCCCUCCUCUCUUCCUCCUGUGGCUCAGCCUUUUUCCUCUUUUACCUGAUAAUAUAGCAACAUCAGAGAAAAACAUUUCCCAAAAAGCCUUCCAAAUCCUGCCCUCCUAACCCAUUCUCUCUCUAUAUAUAGGUGUGUUUGUUUGCUUGCUUUUUGGUACUGGG